AAGUAUGGACAAACCCUGGAGUCACCUUCACCUGUGCUGUUAAAGAGCUUCGUAGGCUACCACUCUAGAGUGAGCGAAAAUUUUGUUCAAAAUGUCCGUCGAUUUCGGCGGGCUGAGGCCAUCCGCACCCAUGCCUAGGUGACGGCCUCGAGUCCUUGGACACGGACGACUUCCUCGGCGUGCCAGACGGCCCACAGUCGAUCGGCGAGGUCGUGGCUGAGCAGGCCCGCCUCUCAUCGCUCCCCGCAAUUCGAGACUACACCGUUCCUCGGGACUCCUGCUGCUCGCUACCGGUGCAUUCCAACAGCAUGUGCUGCAGCGUCGCUCUGGCUCCGCACGCUUUACACUCGUGGGAUGAAUACAGGUUAUUUAAAGCCAGUCAACAACAUCCAGACAAUAACAAGCAGACCAAGAGGAACGGGAGACAAGAAAGCAGCAGUGGAGAAACAGCAACCAGCGCAAGCGCUUGCAAACGAACCAUGCUUCUUCCGAACUCAGCAGACAAUGAUAUUCACGAGUUGCCGGCCGUGCCCGCCGACAUAAAGCUUCCUCCUAAGCAGUACAAUAUGGCAGCACAGAAAAGACGCCGAAAAUGACAGACAAUGUCAUGAGCAGAAAUAGACAAGCAAAGUGUUUAGCUUACUUGAAAUAGAAGAAUAUACCUAAUAGGAACGAAGUAACCCCGGGAAAGAAGCUGGAAUUGGAAAAAGCUACCGGAAGAGUGUGUUUGUUGAUAACACAGCUGAAUGCUCUCCCUCAAAAAAAAGGUACUAGCAUAAAAAAUACCAGAUAUCACAA